rnacentral:rRNA from 1 species
GACGAACGCUGGCGGCGUGCUUAACACAUGCAAGUCGAACGGAAAGGCCCUGCUUUUGUGGGGUGCUCGAGUGGCGAACGGGUGAGUAACACGUGAGUAACCUGCCCUUGACUUUGGGAUAACUUCAGGAAACUGGGGCUAAUACCGGAUAGGAGCUCCUACUGCAUGGUGGGGGUUGGAAAGUUUCGGCGGUUGGGGAUGGACUCGCGGCUUAUCAGCUUGUUGGUGGGGUAGUGGCUUACCAAGGCUUUGACGGGUAGCCGGCCUGAGAGGGUGACCGGCCACAUUGGGACUGCGAUACGGCCCAGACUCCUACGGGAGGCAGCAGUGGGAAAUAUUGCACAAUGGGCGGAAGCCUGAUGCAGCAACGCCGCGUGCGGGAUGACGGCCUUCGGGUUGUAAACCGCUUUCGCCUGUGACGAAGCGUGAGUGACGGUAAUGGGUAAAGAAGCACCGGCUAACUACGUG